rnacentral:SRP_RNA from 1 species
GGGUUGGGUAGGGUGGGGAGACUCGCCAUCUCCUAUUCCCGCAUGGCGUAAAGCGGGCACCAGUAACUUCCUCCCUAUGGCAAGUAAUAGUCUAGGUCCAGGCUGUACAAUGAAAGCCGCCCAAUAGGGCUAACGUCUAUGGACUUCCUCUUCGGAGGGAGAGGAUGUUCCAUACUUACCGGGUGAAUCGGUCAGGUCCGGAAGGGAGCAGCCGUAGCCGGGCGUUAGCGCUUAUUGGUCACCGGCUUAAGGUAAGUCUGGGUUAAAGCCUAGACUAUUAACUACCAUGGAGAGGAAGAUCCAACCC